GGUUAAGCGACUAAGCGUACACGGUGGAUGCCCUGGCAGUCAGAGGCGAUGAAGGGCGUGCUAAUCUGCGAUAAGCGCCGGUAAGGUGAUAUGAACCGUUAUAACCGGCGAUACCCGAAUGGGGAAACCCAGUGUGAUUCGUCACACUAUCAUUAACUGAAUCCAUAGGUUAAUGAGGCGAACCGGGGGAACUGAAACAUCUAAGUACCCCGAGGAAAAGAAAUCAACCGAGAUUCCCCCAGUAGCGGCGAGCGAACGGGGAGGAGCCCAGAGCCUGAAUCAGCAUGUGUGUUAGUGGAAGCGUCUGGAAAGGUGCGCGAUACAGGGUGACAGCCCCGUACACAAAAGCGCAUGUGCUGUGAGCUCGAUGAGUAGGGCGGGACACGUGGUAUCCUGUCUGAAUAUGGGGGGACCAUCCUCCAAGGCUAAAUACUCCUGACUGACCGAUAGUGAACCAGUACCGUGAGGGAAAGGCGAAAAGAACCCCGGCGAGGGGAGUGAAAAAGAACCUGAAACCGUGUACGUACAAGCAGUGGGAGCCCCACCACCAAAGCAUUCUCUGGUGUUGAAGGCCCUGCAAAGCAGCAUCGCGGUGGCGGAGCGUCGUUUGCGACGCCCAACACACAAAACAAGCGGUGAAUGCUUUGGGGUGGGGUGACUGCGUACCUUUUGUAUAAUGGGUCAGCGACUUAUAUUCUGUAGCAAGGUUAACCGAAUAGGGGAGCCGGAGGGAAACCGAGUCUUAAUUGGGCGUUAAGUUGCAGGGUAUAGACCCGAAACCCGGUGAUCUAGCCAUGGGCAGGUUGAAGGUUGGGUAACACUAACUGGAGGACCGAACCGACUAAUGUUGAAAAAUUAGCGGAUGACCUGUGGCUGGGGGUGAAAGGCCAAUCAAACCGGGAGAUAGCUGGUUCUCCCCGAAAGCUAUUUAGGUAGCGCCUCGUGAAUUCAUCUCCGGGGGUAGAGCACUGUUUCGGCUAGGGGGCCAUCCCGGCUUACCAACCCGAUGCAAACUGCGAAUACCGGAGAAUGUUAUCACGGGAGACACACGGCGGGUGCUAACGUCCGUCGUGAAGAGGGAAACAACCCAGACCGCCAGCUAAGGUCCCAAAGUCAUGGUUAAGUGGGAAACGAUGUGGGAAGGCCCAGACAGCCAGGAUGUUGGCUUAGAAGCAGCCAUCAUUUAAAGAAAGCGUAAUAGCUCACUGGUCGAGUCGGCCUGCGCGGAAGAUGUAACGGGGCUAAACCAUGCACCGAAGCUGCGGCAGCGACGCUGAUGCGUUGUUGGGUAGGGGAGCGUUCUGUAAGCCUGCGAAGGUGACCUGUGAGGGUUGCUGGAGGUAUCAGAAGUGCGAAUGCUGACAUAAGUAACGAUAAAGCGGGUGAAAAGCCCGCUCGCCGGAAGACCAAGGGUUCCUGUCCAACGUUAAUCGGGGCAGGGUGAGUCGACCCCUAAGGCGAGGCCGAAAGGCGUAGUCGAUGGGAAACGGGUUAAUAUUCCCGUACUUGGUGUUACUGCGAAGGGGGGACGGAGAAGGCUAUGUUGGCCGGGCGACGGUUGUCCCGGUUUAAGCGUGUAGGUGUGUGUUCCAGGUAAAUCCGGUUCACUUUAACACUGAGGCGUGACGACGAGGCACUACGGUGCUGAAGCAACAAAUGCCCUGCUUCCAGGAAAAGCCUCUAAGCAUCAGGUAACACGAAAUCGUACCCCAAACCGACACAGGUGGUCAGGUAGAGAAUACCAAGGCGCUUGAGAGAACUCGGGUGAAGGAACUAGGCAAAAUGGUGCCGUAACUUCGGGAGAAGGCACGCUGACACGUAGGUGAAGUGAUUUACUCAUGGAGCUGAAGUCAGUCGAAGAUACCAGCUGGCUGCAACUGUUUAUUAAAAACACAGCACUGUGCAAACACGAAAGUGGACGUAUACGGUGUGACGCCUGCCCGGUGCCGGAAGGUUAAUUGAUGGGGUCAGCGCAAGCGAAGCUCCUGAUCGAAGCCCCGGUAAACGGCGGCCGUAACUAUAACGGUCCUAAGGUAGCGAAAUUCCUUGUCGGGUAAGUUCCGACCUGCACGAAUGGCGUAAUGAUGGCCAGGCUGUCUCCACCCGAGACUCAGUGAAAUUGAACUCGCUGUGAAGAUGCAGUGUACCCGCGGCAAGACGGAAAGACCCCGUGAACCUUUACUAUAGCUUGACACUGAACAUUGAGCCUUGAUGUGUAGGAUAGGUGGGAGGCUUUGAAGUGUGGACGCCAGUCUGCAUGGAGCCGACCUUGAAAUACCACCCUUUAAUGUUUGAUGUUCUAACGUGGACCCGUAAUCCGGGUUGCGGACAGUGUCUGGUGGGUAGUUUGACUGGGGCGGUCUCCUCCUAAAGAGUAACGGAGGAGCACGAAGGUUGGCUAAUCCUGGUCGGACAUCAGGAGGUUAGUGCAAUGGCAUAAGCCAGCUUGACUGCGAGCGUGACGGCGCGAGCAGGUGCGAAAGCAGGUCAUAGUGAUCCGGUGGUUCUGAAUGGAAGGGCCAUCGCUCAACGGAUAAAAGGUACUCCGGGGAUAACAGGCUGAUACCGCCCAAGAGUUCAUAUCGACGGCGGUGUUUGGCACCUCGAUGUCGGCUCAUCACAUCCUGGGGCUGAAGUAGGUCCCAAGGGUAUGGCUGUUCGCCAUUUAAAGUGGUACGCGAGCUGGGUUUAGAACGUCGUGAGACAGUUCGGUCCCUAUCUGCCGUGGGCGCUGGAGAACUGAGGGGGGCUGCUCCUAGUACGAGAGGACCGGAGUGGACGCAUCACUGGUGUUCGGGUUGUCAUGCCAAUGGCACUGCCCGGUAGCUAAAUGCGGAAGAGAUAAGUGCUGAAAGCAUCUAAGCACGAAACUUGCCCCGAGAUGAGUUCUCCCUGAGACUUUAGGUCUCCUGAAGGAACGUUGAAGACGACGACGUUGAUAGGCCGGGUGUGUAAGCGCAGCGAUGCGUUGAGCUAACCGGUACUAAUGAACCGUGAGGCUUAACCUU
rnacentral:rRNA from 1 species